AUGCUCUCUUCAGCAGUACAUAUACUAAAAUUGGAACAAUACGAAAAUUAGCAUGGCCUCUGUGCAAGGUUGACAUGAAACUUCGUGAAGCGUUCCAUAUUUUU
ensembl:snRNA U6 U6 spliceosomal RNA